GCCUGCAUUGUGCCCACCAUUUAUUAUCAUAGAAUAACAUGGUUACUGAAGAGCAAUGAAUGUAGCAUGCCAUUGCACAGUGAUUUAUUCAUCAUGGGCCUUAUUUUAUACUUUAAACCUGCCAUUUUCACUUUGACUGUUUGUAUUAUAACCUUCUAUAUUAAGAACAUUUUGUUAAAUACAUUUUUAUUCAUGUCUUUAUUUCCAUCACACUUCUGGGACACCCACAGUGAGGUGCCUGGGGCAAACAUCUCCCUACACACCCCCCUGCUGGCUGUAUUAAAGGAUUUGACACAGCAGUUUUACAUCACAUAGACUGACACACUGCAUGAAGAGCUAGUGAGCAUUUCUACUAACUGGAUGAUGUCUCUCUCAGUGUUUAGUGUAAACCUGGGUUUCUGUUUCAGGAAAACAAAGGGCGUUGCCAGGUAUCCUUUGGUAUUGUUACAACUCAUCGCCUUUUAAGACAAGGGAUUAAAGAGCAGAUGUAUUUGGGUAGAGGGUGGCACACUGGCUCGGUAGCACCGCCAUAUCUCCAGAGCUACUACGAACCUGACCAGGAUAUAGAAUGGAUGAAUGAAUGAAUGAAUGAAUGAAUGAAUGAACAAAUGAAGGUAUGUAGGUACUAGGGAUAUAACCAAAUGCAUUAUUCAGGAUGAAUAGAUUGUUUGGUUUAAAUAGGUGUUGUUUUGUUGUUGUUUUUUUUAAAUAGUUAAGACUAGAGAUGGCAUCUCGCCGAUCAUUUGUGGGUUCCAGUGAGCAGUCAGAUAUGAAGAACUAAAUAUAUAUACGUCGAUACAUAUAGUGGCAUUGUGUUUAAUCCCUAGUACUGUAAGUACCUAAUCAGCAGCAUUCACAGUUAUUCCCAGAUCCACUGCCGUACAGAGACACGAACACAUUUUCGAAAUUCCACAGGUUUGAACAUUACAAUGGGAAAAGCAUGCCCGUGGUCUUGACUAAGUCCAAUGGCAUGCAUUUCUCAUUGUCAUGUUCAAACACCAAAUCUGUGGAAUCUACAGGACAUUCCUCUCAGUUUUGGCGUCUCAGUACAAUAAGAAUGUGUUCACCCAGGCCGUCUGGUAUGCACCACCCUUCCUUGUGAUAUCAUGAACAUCUGCUCAUCAGUCCCAAAUAUAUUUACAUGAAACAGCUCAUUUCUCCAAAACAGGUUUAUUUUGGUCUUUUUCCCAGCUGUCCUUGAUCGGCACAACUCUGUCACAGGCACAGAAACUGGAUCUGAAAGAAGCGAUGUUAUGUUACAAUAGAAUUGUAUACAGCUGUUCCCACAGGCCCUUACUUGGCUGUUAAAUCGCGCCUUUUAUUUAAACAAGGAGGUGCUUUUCGAGACCUGAGUGUAGUUUGCUUAUGAUUGACCUCAGCACCCCCUGGGUCUCCUUGUGGUCUGGGGAAAUGUAAAGGAUUCAGACUUGUUUCAAAGUGUGCGUACGGAGCCUGAGGCUUCCUGCGCUCUCCUUUAGCGGACGAGUGGAUCCUGUUACAUAAUUGUGAUAUAGGCAGCUUGUACAGAAGCCUUUUAUGAUAUGCAGGGAGGCAUGCAUGGCAGCCUGGGUUGGCUGAGGUGGAGCCGUAAAACCGAGACCAGAUGUGUUUCAUUGGUAGAUUCUUGCCUUGGUAGUCGACCUCUCUCUCUCCUCCACUCUCACCCUUUUUGCCAUGCUUGUAAGUUACUGCUCUUUUACUCUGUGCUUUCCUACUGUACGAUACAUCUCAACCCAUCUACUCUAUCUCUAGCUGCUCCAGUGUUUCACACACUCACACACUUACUCUCUCAGCAGGUUGCCUAUUUUAGAUGUUUUAUGAGUCUCUGGGCACAGCAGGACUGGUGCCCACCUAAUGCUUAAGCUUCAGGCCUCGCCAUGCUGCUGAAUACGUUUAAACCAUUAAAUGCUCAUUACGCUGCUUUCAAUCAUUUUCCUCUCUCAACCUUACUUUCUCUCUUCCUCUCUUCCUCUCCUCCUUUCUUAGAGCUCUCUGGGCCUUCCGCAUUUUUUUUUUUUUUUUGCAUUUCAUCCAAAAGUAUUUAGUCCAUCUCAUGUUCCAUGAGUGCUUUAUUUAACAACUCUUUGCUGAACAUGACAAUCCAAUUAUUUACAGCUAUCAGCUUGACAUUUUUUCAUGUUAAAAUCCUAAACUGACUCAAGGCAUGCAGUGUGGUCUGAGUGCAAAGCUCAAGUGGAAGAUAUUGGCCAAUGAAUCCCGCAUUUCCAGCUCAUCUCCCCAUGGAGAACAUCUCGGAAGGUGGUUCCAUAAAAAUUCCUCGAGCAUGUUCUGUAAACAUUGUAAAUUCCCUAAUGUCUCUACUAAUGGAGAAGAUAUCCCCUGCUUACAUUAGUGUAAAAGUGUCCCAGCUCUGGAGGAUGAUGAACUACAGUGCAAAUGAUAAAAGUUUUAAAAACAGGGCUGGGGAAAAAUAGAAAGCAUAGUGGAUACAGUGUGGGCUUGAUCGGACCUCACACUAGAGCGAUGAUGAUUCUUCUCACUUCUGCACGUGUUUAUGUACGUAUGUGUGCGUGUGUUAGACUGACUGUUUGCUCCGUCUGAUGUUCUGCCAAGGGUGUGUUCUGUUUAUUAGUAGAUGAGGGAAAUGAGGGGUGGGUCAGCAUUGGGAGCGGUGCUUUCGGAGAGGACCAUAGAAGAACGCUGCAGUCUAAACACCCAUUCCAGCUGCUGCAGGACGCUGUACUGGCCAGAAAAAAAAAGCGUUGCUCCUUUCGUUAUAUCAUAUCCAGUGGCCCACAUGCCUGUCUUCUCGGAUUCAGAAAAUCCUCACAUAGCAGCCAGGUACACAUUUGUCUGGUGAACCUGUCCCAGGGUCCUGUAAUGUCACGUCAUUUCAUGCUUGCUGAACUUAAUAUCGCAGGACUCGAUCAGUCCCCAGUUGGAUAAUGAUGAAUAAGCUCAUUUAUCAUCAGUCUUCUUCAUAGAACUCAAGGGAGAUAUGGUAGUAGCGUCACGGAACCUAAUGAGAGGCUCGACUUUUCUGCGCCAAAGCCUCAAAACACAUGCAAGUGUGCGUAUGCGUCAUGUGCAUUUCCAAUCAGAGGCAGAAGCCAGAAACGUGAUUGAGACCGGACGCCCCCUGAGUGCUGUAACAGGAGGAAGAGCAGUGAGGGGCGAUGGCUUAAGCGCUUCUGUCAGCCGAUGACACUUCCUAUGAGCGCUUUUAUUACUGCUGCUUCCAUGAGAGCAACUCAGGCUCUGGACCCUUGAGUGAUUUUUACUCCUGCAUUCUUGGUGUAUCGCGGCUACGGCAUGGCCACAUUACAAACUGUUCCAUUUCCAGCUGCAGCAGUGGCUUCCUGUAAUUCCCCACGGUUCAUAAGUCUGCUCGGAGUGUUUACAUAGUAUACACACAGACAGCUUUCACAAGCAGCUGGUGAAACUGAGAAGAAUGUUUAUUGAUGAACGUGACACCACAAGUCAUGGCGACUGUGAGACUGUAGACUCCUCUAUAAAGUAUUGAACGCAGACACGCACUGGAGCCCAUUAAGGUGAAUUCAGAUGUCUGUUACUAAACAUUUAUUAUUCGGUAAUGUUUGACUGACCGGCUUUUUGAAAGGCUUUUUCCACCAUCUUGAACGUAGCAAUGAUAUACUGAAGUGACCUUCUUUUUCGUCCAAAAUCCUUGUCCUUCCUUCGUACUGUGAUUCUCUGAAUGGCACUGAUUCUACAGAGAAGAUGGAUAGAGCUCCCUCCUGUGUGGUCUCUUCACACAGCCUGGACGGAUGAUGUUCAGCUCUGAUGGGCCACCCGUCUCUCGGUCUGAACUGAGAACAAUCAGUCCAAGCCAAGCUGCAUUGUUUGUCAAGCUGAAGGAUGCACCUCAUGAUGUAUUGGGUACACAGUGAAAAUUCAUUUUAAUGUUUGUGUUUUUUGGGGGGUUUUUUUUGUUUGUUUGUUUUGUUUUGUUUUGUUUUAGUGCUGUGGGAAAAAGUGUCUGUAGUUUUGAGAAAAUUUUAUAAGAUGGCAUUUGCCAGGCUGUCAUUUGAACAUCUGGAGAUCUCUAGGUUAUAUACUGCUUCUUGUGUGCAGCCAAUAACACGAGAAGUUUGGAUAUACCACAUCUAUAAAAAAAAAAAAUUAAAUUAAAAAAAGCAGUUCUGACGGUAGGUUUAUAUCAAUGCCAUUGUUUGAAUACAUUUCCGUUUCUAUAGUAACAGCUCACUCACAAGGACUAGUAUGGAAGCCAGACUACUGCACCUAAUAAACAGAUUCAAACCUGCAUUUGAGAAAUAUAUCAUUGUUGAUACGGUUACUUUUUCUGUAAGGAGAUGUUUAUGGAAGGAGUUAACACUUUGUAUCAGUGAGUGUAUCAGUAAGUUUUCUGCUGCAGCUCUUCAGGAUAACUUCAGGACAACUGUUUAUAGCUUAUAAGUGAUAAUAGGAACUAACUUGUCUCACAGGUGUUUUACAACAUUAACUGUAAUUAUAAACAGUUAAAAAGCAUGAGGUGUCAUUCAUUAAUAAGUGUACAAGUUCUACAUGAGGAAUAAAACACUUAAUUAUGCUUUGCAUAUGCUUUAUAAGAAAAAAAAAGUCCCUAUAAUGUCUCCCAAUAUUACACUGAUGCAAAGAUGAAUAUUUUUCCCUCUAAGUUUGAUAUUUUCUGAUAUUGAAACUCAAUGGCUGUCAUUAUCUUGCUUACAGUAUAGCCACUUAUUGUACCAGCAUUGAAACAAGGAGUGUUAGAUUGAGAAAUGAACUGUGUCCGAAGCAGCAGGGUUAUAGUCACUGUAUUGUUCUGUGGUGGAGCUCAGUUUGGGGAUGAAGCUCUUAUGUUUAUUGGUUAAUACACUAAUAUUGGCACACUUUGUAAAUAUAAGCAAAGAAGGCUGUGAAAAACAGUCUUUAUUGUUUAACCUUUUGAUCUUUUUAAAAAAAUUUUUUUUACAAAAUUCUCUGCUCUCAUGGAUAUCAAACAAUUGCAAACACAACACAAGCUUAUCCAAAAAUAAAAAUGUUUUGUUAAAUAUAGGUGUGCAACAGUUAUUGCCCCCCCUAUGAAUUCAUAUGAGAAAAUAUAUCUGAAGUAUAUUCCCAUUCAUAUUUAACAUUUUUUAGUACACCUGAUUAACUAGGUUAACUUGGGUAAAAUAAAUUGUUCGACCAUGACUUCCUGGGUCAUUUCACAGGGGUAUAAAUAUGAGGUAACACAGGCAAAAGUCACUUAGUCAUACAUAACAAUGGGUAAGACCAAGGAAUUUAUCUGUGAUGUGUGGAAAAAGGUUGUUGAGCUUCACAAAAUGGGGCGUGGCUAUAAGAAAAUAGCACAAGCAUUGAAAAUGCCCAUUUCCUCCAUCAGGGCAAUAAUUAAGAAGUUCCAGUCAACUGGAAAUGUUAUGAAUCAAUCUGGAAUUGGACGUGUGUCUAUAUCGUCUCAACGCACUGUGAAGAGGACGGUUCGAGUGGACAAAAAAAUCUCCAAGAAUCACAGCUGGAGAAUUGCAGAAGUAAGUUGUAUGUUGGGGUCAGAAAGUCUCCAAAACUACAAUCCGAAGUCACCUACAUCACCACAAGUUGUUUGGAAGGGUUUCAAGAAAAAAGUCUCUACUCUCAUCCAAAAAUGAACUCGAGCGUCUUCAGUUUGCCAGACACUACUGGAACUUCAAAUGGGAUCGGGUUCUAUGGUCAGAUGAAACCAAAAUGAAGCUUUUUGGCAAUAAACACCAGAGGUGGAUUUGGUGCAGAUCUCAUAUCCCUUGCCAUGUAUUCUCCAACCUCAUCAGGCAUUACAGGAGAAGACUCAGAGCUGUUAUCUUGGCAAAGGAAAGUAGCACAAAGUAUUGACUAAAAGUGGCCAAUAAUUGUUGGACAUCUAUGUUUAACAAAGAUUUUUUUAUAUAUAUAAAUUAUAUCCAUAAGCGCAGAGUAUUUUUGUGAAUUUCAUGAACAAAAGAUAAAAAGGUUAAACAAUACAUUUUUCACAGUCUUCUUUGCUCAUAUUUACCAAGAGUGCCAAUAUUAAUGGAUUGCACUGUAUACGUCCUUAUUCUCACCUAUGGUCAUGAGCUAUGAGUAAUGAAUGAAAGAAUAAGGUCAUGAGUACAAGUGUCAGAAAUGAGGUUUCUCCACAGGAGAGCCUUGGAGUAGCGCCACUGCUCCACUGAAUUUAGGAGGAGGAGCCAGUUGAGAUGAUUAGAGCAGCUUACAGUUAUGCCCAAUGGUGUGCUCUCAAACACAUCCCACUGGACCCAGCGCAGACCCAGGACCCACUGGAGAGAUUAUAUCUCACACUUGGCUUGGGAAUGUCUGAAGGAUUACUGAGGAGGUUCUGGAAUCUGUAGAUGGGGAUAGAGAAAUCUGGACUGAUCUUCUGUUAUUGCUAUUCCCAGUGGGAAAAGUGGAAGGAAAAAGAACAAAUUAAGGUUUUAAGUAACUGAACAAUAUUAUGUCAAGUGGCUUUAUUGGUAAUAUCAAAAUAGCAAACUCGUUAUUUUUACUUUCUUGUCUCAGUUUUUCCAUCGUUGCUUGCAGAUCACUGAUGGAAAUUAAACUGAGGUUGAAAUGUGAUGUUUUCGUUUAUGUUUGCCAGCAGUUGAGUCUUGUCAGCAUCUGAACAUAGAGAGAAGACUUUAUCUGGUGAUGUGGUGUAGAUGGAGUCUCUAGCAAGAUUAGCUGACAUUACUCCUGAGUUUUAGGCAAAAUUGAGAGCAACUUUCAGAAAAUAUAAAUAUAUUUCAGCAAACUGACAUCUUCAUCUUCUUGCAAAGAGCCUACAAAGUUGGAUACAGGUCCGGUUUAACAAACACGGGUGUUUUAAACAAAACUGCUUAAAGAUAUCUAAAACGUUGUGUAAUUGUCAUGUGGUUUUCUCAGACAGUGACUGUCAUGCUUUGAAUCACAGUGUUGUAAAUUAUGUGCUGUAGAGCAAUGGGCAUAAGCAUAAUCAAUUCAGUUUGUGAUUAGGUACCAGCUGUCAAAAAGCCUGCGAUGUUCCGGUGCUGCAAUCGGAAUUAAAUCUUUAAAUGUAAUUUUCUCUCUUUUCACUUUUGGGGGAAAUUUACAUGUGGAAGACAGAAAUUUACAUGUGGUUAAGAUACAUGCCAAAGAGAAAUAGAUUUCAGUUCAGGAAAGUCUGUUCUGUUCAAAACUCAGCUAUAUAUAUAUAUAUGAUCUUAUUGGAUAUCCCAUUCCAAAACCAUGGGCAUUAAUACGUGGUUGGCCCUUUGGGGCUUAAACAGCAUCCAUUCUUCUGGGAAGGCUUUCUACAAGAUUUUGGACUGUGUAAGUGGGAAUUUAUGCCCAUACAAUCAGAAGAGCACUUAUGAGGUUAGGCACUUAUGUUAGACAACAAGGCCUGGCUCCUAAUCCCAUAAUCCCAAAGAUGUUCACUGGGGUUGAGUUCAGGGCUCUGAUCAGGCCACUAAAGUUCAUCUACACUAAACUCAUCAAAGCAUGUCUUCCACCUCGCUUUGUGCACAAGGGUGCAGUCAUGCUGGAACAGGAACGGGCAUUCCACUAACUGUUUCCACAAAGUUGGAUGCAUAAAAUUGUCUAAGAUGUCUUUGUAUGGAGUAGCAUUAACAUUACUCUUCACUGGAACUAAGGGGCCCAAACCCUAAAAAAAACAGCCCCGGACCAUUAUCCCUCAUCUACCAAACGUUACAGUUGUUAUUAUGAAUUCUGGUAGGUAGUGUUCUCCGGGCAUCCGCCAAACCCAGAUUCAUCCAUCAGACUGGCAGAUAGUGAAGCAUUAUCAUCACUCCAGAGAGCGCUUUUCCAAUUCUCCAGAAUCCAGUGGGAGCAUGAUUUAUACCACUCAAUCCAAGGCUUGCCAUUGCACAUGGUGAUCUUCAGCUUGUGUGCAGCUCCUUGGCCAUGGAAAUUCAUUUCAUGAAGCUCCUGAUGCACAGUUCUUGUGCUGUUAGGCAGUUUGGAACUCUCUACUGAGUGAUGCAACAGACGAUAUGUGAGUUUUACCCACUGUACGCUUCAGCACUUGGCAGCCCCCGCUCUAUAAGUUAGUGUGGUCUACAGCUUUGUGACUGAGCUGCUUCCAUUUCGCAGUAAGAACUCUUACACUGGAUCUAACACUUUGACCUUGGCAGAAAUUUAAUAAACUGACUCGUGGCAAUGGUAGCAUCCUAUGACAGUUCCACAUCUAAAGUCACCGAGCUCUUCAUUACCCUUCAUGACCCAUUCUACUGGCAGUGUUCAUGAAAUCUAUGGAGAUGGCAUGGCAACAGUAUGCGCUUGAUGUAUUGCACCUGUUGGCAAUGGGAGUGGCUGAAACACCUGAACUCAAUCACUACGAGAGGUGUCCACAUACUUUUGGCCAUAUAGUGUGUGUCUCUAUAUAUACAUAUAGUACAAAAUGUCACCAUGUUAAGGGUUUUCCUAGGCUGCCACAUAUGUUUUUUUUUUAGGUCUAGCCGAAAAUGUUUAUGCUUCUUGUCAUUUUAACAUAAUUUUCUAAUAUCUGGCGCAUUUUGAAUUAAAACACUUAUCAGGUUUUCAUACCUGCCAGGAAACAGAAGAAAGCGAUAUAAGCUGUGAUAAUAGAUUAGGUGUUUUAUCGGGUACAUGAUGAAUUGAAAGGUUUAGUCAUGCAUACAGAAGUAAUAAGGACACAUUCAUACAAAGUGACAUAAAAAGUGACACUUGGUGACUCUUUCCAAAUACAAAACAAAACUUUUUUUCUAUGUAUGUGUCAUUCAUGUGGAGGUGUUAACGCAUUGAUGGCAUGACUUUCCAUGAAUGAAACUCCACUGACCGAAGCAGGCAGGGCUAUUUUCAGAUGUGAUUCACAUUCAUCUCUAAUGAACUGCAUUGAUGAGCCUGGGUUUUUGUGCAAAAUGGCAAAGACUCCUUAUAUGGUAUCCAUGGUCUCUUGUUGCCAUUAAGUGGAUGGCUUAAUUAAAGCACUGCCUAAUUUGCAUGCAUGAGUUUGAGGAGGGCGCAUACAUAUAUAGGCGGCAUUAAGAAUGAAAAGCAUUUAGCCGAGAAUUUGAUGCCCCCUCGAAGCUCAGCUCAUUACGCUCUAGCUCGCAGUGACCUUUCAGCCCAUCUACGACCUGCUAUAGAGUGCAUCCCACACACACACACACACACACACACACACACAUUCAUAUUUUAUCCCUGGUGUCAGGAGGUAAUUUGUGGCUGCCUGACUCCUCUUUUGAAGUGAUAGCGGCAGGCCUAUCGCGGUGAGUCACAGCGCUACGGCCAGCUGAGCGGGCCUGCUAAUUAGCUAAUUAACUGGAGAGCGGUGUUCGUGGAGGAGCUGUCACCCCUGGGCACACUGGUGAUGGAGGAGAGGGAGGAGAAUGCAUUGCGCUGUUCAUCAGUGUGAGGAUAUAGUGAGGGAGAGAUAAAGCAGGGUCACUGAGUGCAGUCACUGCCUGGUGUACAUUCACAGAGGCACAUACACAUAUACGAGCUCACGGCACAGGUAUAUAGACAGAUAGACACACACACAGGAGCAGCUAAAAGGCACAUUAUCAGAAAAGAGACAGCGAAAGAACAAAGAGAGAAAAGAGAUAGAGAUGAAAAUAACCUUGAUGUGAGUGAAGGGGAAUUUAAUAUCACAAAGGAGCAGAGAUGAAAACAUCGAGCUUGUCAUUGAUUUGUGUCGUCCUGUAUGACUCAGGGGGACUGUGAGUCAUAAUGUACCGGCUUUCACACACCUCUAACCUCUUAUACCGAGGCAGUCUGCCCAUUAGAACAGGUGCAAGAGGAUAAACUUAUUAAAACAUGUCAAAAGCACAUUUUAAAGUCAUUUAUUUUUAAUCUUCUGGUUCUUUUUUCAAUAUAUCAUUGUUACUGAACAGUUUAACAGCCUCAUAUAUAGAAUAAGUAUUAUAUUGUCAAGAUAUCUGACUUCCUGAGUGUAUGUCCAAAUGUACUAAACAGCAGACAAGACACUGAUAUUUGUAGCUAUACAGAGGAUUGCUAAAAUAAAAUAAUAUACGAUAAAUAAUAUUGAGGAAAAGGUGGAAUGAUUCUAAAUGUUGUUUGUGUGUGUGUGUGUGUGUGUGUGUGUGAGUGGGUGGGUGAGCCAUUCAGGGUAUAUUCCUUGAUCCACAUCGAUCCUGGCUGGGUUAAAGCUUUUGAUGAAAAUAAAUGAAUGGUUAUAAAGGUAUGGUAUAGAGUAUGUACAAUGGAACUGUGGCACAAUUGCCUUUUUAUGAAGCUAAUGACAAUUGAGAUCUCAAAGAUAAAUAACACUUAGAAAUAGGCUUCAAAUUCGAAUAGAACAGCCUCUGUGUCAUCAAUCCAUCAUUUAACAGCCACACAUGAAUGAUCGAAAAAAAAAUGAAAUGAAGUGAUGAUACAAACUGGAAGUUUGUUUAGAUUUGGUGAACAUCUCCAACGGCUUGUUUGUAACAUGAUAAGAAAGUGUGACGAGCACGAAAAGGAUGCCUUUAAAACCUUAAAAGUCACAGAUUUCUUUUAUCUAGGUGAUUUGAAAUAUUCUCCAAUUAGUCCAGUUUGAUAUCCAACAUAGUGAGACUAUGUAGGAUGGACCUUUGCUUUACUGGGCGUCCUACAUACUUAGCUAGAUAGUAAACUUUGGAACAAGUUAACUGGCACUUUGUGCUAACAUAUGAGGGACAGGCAACCACUUGUUAAUCCUAAAGCCUUGUUAAUCCUAAAGCCUUUUUUUAUGUAGGCUGAAGACAUUUGGAUUUGAGAUCAAAAGAUGAAUAAGAAAAGCGAGUUUAGAAUUUCAGCUUUUAUUUCCUGGUAUUUAUAUGUAGAUAAAUGGUAAAUGGUGCACUUAUAUAGCGCUUUUAUUCAAAGCGCUUUACACUGUGUCUCAUUCACCCAUUCACACACCAAUGGUAACAGAGCUGCCAUGCAAGGUGCUAACUUGCCAUCGGGAGCAACUUGGGGUUCAGUGUCUUGCCCAAGGACACUUCGCAUGUGGAGUCACGAGGGCCGGGAAUCGAACCGCCAACCCUACGAUUAGUGGACAACCCGCUCUACCACCAGAACAUAGCACAUUUUGUAUGAGACCACGCAAUUUGUGGACGAGCAAAAAUAUUGUUCCUCUUUAGCCCAGUGUGUUCUGUUAGAUUGAUUCUUUAACAAUAUAGAGCUCUGAACAUCUACUCUUGGUUUUAGCCUUCAGUUUCACUGGUGAAGAUUGCAUUUGUUGUUUAAAAAGAUAAACCAACAUGACGAUCAGAGAGUUGUCUAUGGGAGAAAAACAAACCAUUUUGAGAAAAGAGGGAAAAUCAAUCAGAGGCUUAGCACAAACACUGGGUAAUGUCAAUACAACAAUUUGGAAUGUCCGUAAAAAGAAAUAACUACUGAUGUAUUGAGGAAAAGACACCGAAUGAACGGCUAAGGAAAUCAACAAACUGAUGACAGCUGAAUACACGAACAUUUGAGAGCUGUGAAGAAAAAACCCAAAACAACAGUCAGUGACAUCACCAACAAUCUCCACAGGGCAGGGGAAUCAUAAUCCAAGGUUCUAAGAAGACUUCAAGAGCAGAAAUAUAGAAGCCAUACCACAAGAUGCAAACCAUUCAUCAGCAAUAAGAAUUGGGAAACUCACAAAGAAAUACAGAGAUGAGCCACAAAAGUUCUGGAACCAAUAAUUAACCUCUAAGUGUGGAGAAAGAAAGGAUCUGCUCAUGAACCAAAACAUACAAGCUCAUCUGUUAAACAUGGUGGAGGUAGUGUCAUGACUUGGGCUUGCACAGCUGCUUCUGGAACAUUCUCACUAAUCUUUAUUGAUGAUGUAACUCAUAGUGGUAGCAGCAGAAUGAAUUUGGAUGUUUAAAGAAAUGCAUCCAAAUUAAUCGUAAGGAACUUUAUUAUGCAGCAAGACAAUGAUCCAAAACACACUGCCAGCACAACAAAGGACUUUAUGAGGGGGGAAAAGUGGAAGGUUUUAGACUGACCAAGUCAAUCACCAGACCUUAACCCAGCUGAGCAACAUUUCACCUCCUGAAGAGGAGACUGAAGGGAGAACCCCCCCAAACAAACAACUGAAAGAGGCUCACCCAAAAAUUAGGUAGGACAUACCCCAGCAUGUCAGGAAGUUGGGGUCAGAGCUCAGGGUCAGCCAUGAUACAGCACCCCUGGAGCAGAGAGGGUUAAUGGCCUUGCUCAAGGGCCCAACAGUGGCAGGUUGGCAGUGCUGGGGCUUGAAUCCCCGACCUUCUGAUCAGUAACCCAGAGCCUUAACCGCCAAAUCACCACUGCCACUACCACACCAAUUUGCCAGCGAUAUCAAUGACACAUCACACUUUUAUCCAUUUAUAGUUAUAUUUCUGUUGUAGCACGUCCUUGAAACAGGUUUGUUCAUUCAUCUUCAGUAAUUGUUUUAUCCUGGUCAGGGUUGCAGUGGAUCUGGAGCCUAUCCCAGGAACACUAAAUACUAGGUGUGAAAUUCACCCUGUAUAGGAUGGCAGUCCAGCACAGGAAAUCAUGCACACUUACACUUUCACACCUAUGGGGCAAUUUAGCAUAGCGUAUCCAUGCAUGUGUCCAUGUGUCAAUGUGGUUUUGGACAGUGAGAGGAAACUGAAGAAUCUGGAAGAAAACCCAUGGGAAAACAGGAAGAGCAUGCAAAACUCAGGAUCGAACCAGGAACCCUGAGGCUGUGAGGUGACUGUUCCUGCUUCGAAACAUUAUGCAUAGACACGUAUCUGCCUUCUGACCAAUCAGAUUCAAGAAUUCAACAAUGCUGUGAUCCAGUGACGAGAACUGUUUGGCCUUUUCCUUUUCUCCACUCAGGACCUGGACAUGCAAAAGAUCACACUGUUUUUAAAGGUUCAGAGAUGUAUGCUGAAUGCAUUAUGGAGUUAUAUAGCAGCUUUUCUGCGUCAUCAGAAGAUGUGCGUGCCCCAGUCAUCCCUCCUGAAUGCUUAAACAGAAGCAGUCAUUAUAAUGAUGAGCCUGACAUCACCUCGUAAUUCCUAUGGCUCGAAAGUGGAAAACAGUGUAACUGCAGCAAUGGUGAUUGGACAACAUUAAGGAAUUUGCAUCCCAAAACAAUGCUCAAUUUUCACAGCCCAAGCACGUGCCUUACUUCUAGCCGUGGAAUAUAUUGGAAAAGCACAACAAAAGAAUUUACAGCAUCAAUCCUUUAACAUCAUCUUCUGCUGGGUUCCAGGUCAUGUUGGUCUGUCAGGAAAUGCACAAGCGGAUAUGGCUGCAAAGGAGGAAGUUAUGCUGGAAGUAGAAGAGUGUUAAAUCCCACCCUCAGACCUUAAACCUUCUCUCAAUCACUAAAAUCCAUCCUAAAAUCCCCAACAGACUUUUAAUCUCUAUUAAAACAAGAUUUGAUGAAGUGGUGUUCACUAGAUGUCACGUAGGUCAUUCAAGACUGACUCAUGCAUCUAUCCAUCCAUCCAUUUUCUAUACCGCUUUAUCCUUUUCAGGGUCACGGGGAACCUGGAGCCUAUCCCAGGGAGCAUCGGGCACAAGGCGGGGUUCACCCUGGACAGGAUGCCAAUCCAUCGCAGGGCACAAUCACAUACACACUCACACACCCAUUCAUACACUACGGACACUUUGGACAUGCCAAUCAGCCUACCAUGCAUGUCUUUGGCCUGGGGGAGGAAACCGGAGUACCCGGAGGAAACCCCCGCAGCACGGGGAGAACAUGGAAACUCCACACACACAGGGCCACGGUGGGAAUCGUGCUAACCACUAAGCCACCGUGCUCCCUCUUUCCUUUGGUUUUAUUUUUUAUUGUAUUUAUGCAACGCUUGUCAUUUUUGUAAGUUUGUUUUUGCCAGACAUGGCAUUAAAAGCUACACUGCUGCUAUUAGCAUUUCAGUUUCUAUUACAUUUUUUAUUCAUUUGUCAUGUUUAUUGAGAUAACACGUUACCGCUGGGUAUAGUGUCAUCUCUGCACAGAUGGGAAGUGUUGGGUUUGCGCAACACACAGCAUUUCCCACGAUGGACAAAAACUUCAAUUUAGCCUCAUCUGUCCAGACAACCUUCUUCCAUGUUUUUGGGGAGUCUGCCACAUGCUGCUUUAUGAACUCCAAACGUGUUUUUUUUUUGUUUUUUUUUCUUUAGCAAUGGAUUUUUUUUCUGGCAACUCUUCCAUAAAGCCCUGCUCUGUGGAGUGUAAAGUGGUCCUAUAGACCGAUACUCCCAUCUCUGCUGUGGAUCUUUGCAGGUCCUUUGGUGUUACCUUUGUUGUCUUUGUUGAAUCUCUGAUGAAUGCCCUCCUUGCCCGGUCUGUGAGUUUUUCUGGGUGGCCUUCUCUUGUCAGGUUUGUAGUGGUGCCAUAUUCUUUCCAUUUUGUUAUGAUUGAUUUAAUGGUGCUCUGUGGGAUCUUUAAAGUUUGGGAUAUUUUUAUACACCCAACCCUGAUCUAUAGUCCCUUCUGAAAGUACUGGAACAGCAAGGCCAAUUGUAUUGUUUUUGCUAUACACUGAAGACAUUUGGGUUUGAGAUCAAAAGAUGAAUGAGACGAUAGAUCAGAAUAUCAGCUUUCAUUUCCUAAUAUCUACAUCUAGAUGUGUUAAACAACCUAGAACAUGGCAGACCACCCAAUUUUUAGGCGAGCAAAAGUAAUUGAACAGAUAGUCUUAAAGUAAAUAACAAUAAAUAUUUGGUGGUAUAUCUUUUACUUGCAAUACCUGCAUCAAGCUGGUGACCCUCUGACAUCACCAUAAUGUUGCAUUUUUCUUUUGUGUUGCUUUUUCAGGCUUUUACUGUAGCUCUUCCAGUUGUUGUUUGUUUUGGGGUAGGGGAGGGGUGUGUCUCCCUUCAGUCGCCUAAAUAUCAGGAAAUGAAAGCUGAAAUUCUGAUCUCAUAUCCAUCUUUUGAUCUCAAACCCAAAUGUAUUCAGUGGAUGACAAAAAGAAGUGGCCUUGUCAUUCCAAUACUUUCAGAAGGGACUGAAUACUUCUCCACAACUAUGUCUCUGACGUGUUUGGAGAGCUGCUUGGUCUUCAUGUUGCUUGCUUAGUGGUGUUGCAGACUCUGGGGUCUUUCAAGACAGGUGUAUUUAUACUGACACCAUGUGACAGAUCAUGUGACACUUUGAUUUCACACAGGUGGACCUUAAUCAGUUAAUUAGGUGACAUCUGUAAUGAACUGAUUGGACCCCAGAUCUUAUUUAGGGGUUUCAAAGCAAAGGGGGUGAAUACAUACGCACUCAUAAGUUUUCAGUUGUUCUUUUCUUUUCUUUUUUUAAACAAGGUAUUUUUUUUCAUUCCACUUUGUACUAUUUUGUUAUGUCAAUUACAUACAAUCCAAAUAAAAAACCGCCUUAAUUCCAGGUUGAAAACAGAAGGAACAAACACCAAGGGGGGUGAAUACAUUUCGCAAGGCCCUCCAGGUUUGGCAUUAGUAACCACAAUAUCCAGGGAUAAAUCUCUGGGAAGCAGCAACAUUGUGACAUUCCAAGUGUUUCAACAUAAGCAGUGCUGGGAAUCAAUAAAAUAUGAUAUGUUAUGAUGAUAGUGCCACACUCUUGGAGCACUCCAUGUUUGUCAUAUUUCUCACAAGUGGUCUCAGGAGUCAGCUUCUUCUCUGACAGAGGUCCAUUUUUCACAUAUAGGUUAUAUUAUACAUGAUAUUUAUUAUUUAUAUAUCAUAUUUUUCAGAUAUUUUAUUACUGAAUUGAUUUAUUUUUCACAUUAAUGUCUUACAUAUACAGUGCUGUGAAAAAAGUAUUUGUUUUUGUGCAUAUCUCAUACUAAAUAGUUUUAGCUCUUGAAACAAAAUACAACAUACGACCCCAAUUCCAAAAAAUUUGGGACGCUGGGUAAAAUGUAAAUAGCAACAUAUAUGCGUCCAUCCAGAUUUCAUCCCAUCUUUACUUCUGAAAGACUCCACCUCUCUAAGAUAGUCUUUUUAUUCCCAGUCACGUUACUGACCUGUUGCCAAUUAACCUCCAGCUGUUUCUGUUUAGUAACACUUACUUUUCCAGCCUUUUGUUGCCCCGUCCCAAGAUUUUUGAGACGUGUUGCACCAUCAAAUUAAAAAUCGCUGCAUUUUCACAUGUUCAUUUUGCAGAUGUAAGGCAUUUCAUUUUAUUGCAUAGUGAAUUUAUGUUCACAUUAUUUAUUCAUAUGUAUAGCAUAAGAUUUUAUUCGUCACGUUAUUUCUUCACAAUUUAAUUACGUUUUUUACACGUCACCUAUUGAUGUUACGUGUAGGGUAGAUGAUUUUAUCUUAUUUACAUUAUUUUUGUACAUUAUUUAUGUGACUUUGUCACCUGUCGUACAUGUGCCUUUUUCACGUAACUCUAUUACACGAUUUAUUUAUUUAUUUUCACAUUAAGUUUUCACAUGAGGCAAGUGAUUUUCAUUUUCACAUGUGAUUGUAUCAUGAAUCAUUUAUUUUCAUUUAUUACAAUUCAUGUGAUUGUAUCAUGAAUCAUUUAUUAUGUUAUUUUAUUACAAGAUUCAUUUAUUUUCACGUUAACAUUUUAGGUAGGGUUUACAGUAUGUAGGGAAUUAUUGAAGGGAAUUAUUAUACAAUUAAUUGAUUUUCUCAUAUAACUUCUUCACAGUUUCAUUUUUCACAUGCUCACAUAUUACUCCCAUGAUGUCACGUGUUUAUUUGAAUUUGAGGAUAUGGUGAAAUGCCCCUUUUCAUGACACAUUACUUACACGGCCACACGUGUAUGUGAUUUUUUUUUUUUUCCUGUAAGGAGAGUCCAAGCAUGCUUCUCAGGAAGCGUCUCUGAAAGUCCUCACGAGUUAGCAUAACGUGAGGGUCUGUGCUGCUUUCAAACGUAAGUGAGCCAAAUGUGAGCCUUUGUUUAAGUGCUUUUAUGUGUUAGUAUUAGGUUCAAAUCUUAAGUGAGUGAGCGCAGAGCUGUGGAAAGUGAGGUCAAAGUAGACGGAGACUGUUUGAAUGUUUCAAAGUUGAUGAUCCCGAAAUAGAAUCAUUACUCAAAGUGUUUACACUUGUCGACUGCCAUCUUCUUCCUGUGCCUCUCUCUCUGUGUCUCUGUUUCCGAAGAAGUGGGUUGAACACAUAAUGGGUGUGCUCAUCAACAUAAGUGACUGUUUAACACUCUGGUAUCCAGGUGAGAGCAAAAACAGAGCUAGAGAGCAGGAGGCAGUCAUUGGGAGAAGUUGUAUAUAAUGACAUAUCGUUAUUUAUCUGCAUUCCAGACAGACAUUAUUGAUUUGCUUGAUGGAAACUGAAUGAAAGACAGUUAUGACUCUUGGACAGUUCGCUUUUGCUUCCAAAAAUAUUGAGAUUCCAAAACAGUGGUAAUUAAGGCCUGCUAUGGAAACUUUUAUUGCUAGGAACAACAUAGCACAAUAUAAACAUAUUGCAAGUCAAAUUGAAAAAAACAAAUGGGGUUAUAAAAAUGUUUGGGUUUUUUUUUCUUGGUGUUUUGCAAGGUCCAAGUCUGUUGCCAACAGCUUGUCUGUGCCUUCUUAUCCAGCUGUCAAUAUUUCAAGCAAUUUCUUCCCUAUUUUUCUUCAGGAUAUUGUUCAGUCCUUAAGUGAGAGCGAUGCUUUACAGAAUGAGGUUCUCCUCCGCAAACCUACGAGCAGCUGAACUCCAUGCCAAGAUGAUUCCCCUUCUCUAAAUCUGCUCCACAUAUGACAUCAUAUGAUUGAUUUUGUUGUCCUGAAAGUUAUUGUAAAUCCAUCCAUGUUGAUGUUUUUGGCAAAGCGUGGUUUCAGUUAGUUAUUUAGUACUCGCAGACCAUUCCCUGAGUCUCUGCAAACUCUUUUAUCAUUGCAGUUUUGUCAGUCACAAGCGGGCCAAUACUGGAUCCCGCAGUCAGAAGUCUAGAUAUUUUAAAGACUGGGAUUAGAAAUAUAAAAAUGACCAUUAGAGGGAAUCCAUCCUGAACUUAUCAUGUGAUUCACUCACACACACACACACACCUCUGGACUUUUAAUAACUGCUGCAGAAGAGCAAAGGGUUUAUCAUUGACCACAGUGUAUCUUGUUAAUCAUUAGCUGCUGAAAUCCAGUGAACAGUCACUGUCAGUGACACCACCAUUCCACCAUACCAGGGAUGGCUAGUAUAAAUGGGCUAGUAUAAAUGGGCACUGCCUUUUUCAAGGAAAAAUACAUAAAAUGCUGCUACAUUUUUGAGCACAUCAUCUAAUUUGCUUUUGUGUUACCAAGAACAACCGCACAACAGUGCAGGG